UACGUAGGUGGCAAGCGUUGUCCGGAUUUACUGGGCGUAAAGAGCGCGCAGGCGGUUGUUUAAGUCGAAUGUGAAAGCCCCCGGCUCAACUGGGGAGGGUCAUUCGAUACUGAUCGACUUGAAGGCAGGAGAGGUAUGUGGAAUUCCUGGUGUAGCGGUGAAAUGCGUUGAUAUCAGGAGGAACACCCAUGGCGAAGGCAGCAUACUGGUCAUCAUCUGACGCUGAGGCGCGAAAGCGAGGGUAGCAAACAGG
rnacentral:rRNA from 1 species